rnacentral:rRNA from 1 species
CAGCGCCACGGGAACACGGAGGGUGCAAGCGUUAAUCGGAAUUACUGGGCGUAAAGCGCACGCAGGCGGUCUGACAAGUCAGAUGUGAAAUCCCCGGGCUUAACCUGGGAACUGCAUUUGAAACUGUCAGGCUGGAGUCUUGUAGAGGGGGGUGGAAUUCCAGGUGUAGCGGUGAAAUGCGUAGAGAUCUGGAGGAAUACCGGUGGCGAAGGCGGCCCCCUGGACAAAGACUGACGCUCAGGUGCGAAAGCGUGGGGAGCAAACAGGAUUAGAUACCCGUGUAGUCCCUGUCUCUUAUACA